rnacentral:rRNA from 1 species
UAGGGAAUCUUCGGCAAUGGACGAAAGUCUGACCGAGCAACGCCGCGUGAGUGAAGAAGGUUUUCGGAUCGUAAAACUCUGUUGUUAGAGAAGAACAAGGACGUUAGUAACUGAACGUCCCCUGACGGUAUCUAACCAGAAAGCCACGGCUAACUACGUGCCAGCAGCCGCGGUAAUACGUAGGUGGCAAGCGUUGUCCGGAUUUAUUGGGCGUAAAGCGAGCGCAGGCGGUUUCUUAAGUCUGAUGUGAAAGCCCCCGGCUCAACCGGGGAGGGUUAUUGGAAACUGGGGGACUUGAGUGCAGAAGAGGCGAGUGGAAUUCCAUAUGUAGCGGUGAAAUGCGUAGAUAUAUGGAGGAACACCAGUGGCGAAGGCGGCUCUCUGGUCUGUAACUGACGCUGAGGCUCGAAAGCGUGGGGAGCAAACAGG